AAGCUAAAAACAAUCCAUAACAAUGGUGAACAUGUGUGUGGUUCAGUUUUGUAGCAAUUUGAAUAAUUCUGGUUACAAUGUGCAUUAUUUUCUCAAAGACCCAAGCCUCAGAAGACAGUGGGUAAGCUUUGUGCAAAUGAAGAGGGAUAAUUUUUCCAAACCCGGUCAACACUUUCACCUGAACCUGGACACGUUUUGAAAAGCUCAGCACCCCCCACACUAAGGACCAAAACUGCAAAGUUUUUGUUAAAAGACAAGUUGUAGAGAUGUUGCAGGAAGCAUGAGGUUGACAUGGAACCAGCAGAUGCUGAAGCUUCAUCUUUGGUCCAUUUCAAAAGUUGCCAGAUUGAAGUGCGUAUUCAUGACAGAACACAUCUGUCCGACAGCAGAGAGAAUACUGCAACAUGUAUUUCAACCUCAGGUGUUCUCAAAGUACUCUUAUUGAAAGACCAAAUAAUUCUGUGCUUAUGUUAUCUAACAUAUUUAUACAAAAUAUAAGCAUACUGUUCAAUAAAAAUGCUAUGAUUCUA